rnacentral:rRNA from 2 species
AGGUUGCUGGGGGAUUAGUGGCGAACGGGUGAGUAACACGUGAGUAACCUGCCCUUGACUCUGGGAUAAGCCUGGGAAACUGGGUCUAAUACCGGAUAUGACUCCUCAUCGCAUGGUGGGGGGUGGAAAGCUUUUGUGGUUUUGGAUGGACUCGCGGCCUAUCAGCUUGUUGGUGGGGUAAUGGCCUACCAAGGCGACGACGGGUAGCCGGCCUGAGAGGGUGACCGGCCACACUGGGACUGAGACACGGCCCAGACUCCUACGGGAGGCAGCAGUGGGGAAUAUUGCACAAUGGGCGCAAGCCUGAUGCAGCGACGCCGCGUGAGGGAUGACGGCCUUCGGGUUGUAAACCUCUUUCAGUAGGGAAGAAGCCGUAAGGUGACGGUACCUGCAGAAGAAGCGCCGGCUAACUACGUGCCAGCAGCCGCGGUAAUACGUAGGGCGCAAGCGUUAUCCGGAAUUAUUGGGCGUAAAGAGCUCGUAGGCGGUUUGUCGCGUCUGCUGUGAAAGACCGGGGCUCAAC